UGGGGAAUUUUUCGCAAUGGGGGAAACCCUGACGAAGCAACGCCGCGUGGAGGAUGAAGGCCUUCGGGUCGUAAACUCCUGUCGACCGGGACGAACGCUAUUGGGCCCAAUACGCCCGAUAGUCGACUGUACCGGUGGAGGAAGCCACGGCUAACUCUGUGCCAGCAGCCGCGGUAAUACAGAGGUGGCAAGCGUUGUUCGGAAUUACUGGGCGUAAAGGGCGCGUAGGCGGUCUUGCAAGUCCCGUGUGAAAUCCCUCGGCUCAACUGAGGAACUGCACGGGAAACUGCUUGGCUUGAGUUCGGGAGAGGGAAGCGGAAUUCCGGGUGUAGCGGUGAAAUGCGUAGAUAUCCGGAGGAACACCGGUGGCGAAGGCGGCUUCCUGGACCGACACUGACGCUGAGGCGCGAAAGCUAGGGGAGCAAACGGG
rnacentral:rRNA from 1 species